rnacentral:rRNA from 1 species
UACGGAGGAUGCAAGCGUUAUCCGGAAUGAUUGGGCGUAAAGCGUCCGCAGGUGGCUGUGUAAGUCUGCUGUUAAAGAGUGAGGCUCAACCUCAUAAAGGCAGUGGAAACUACAUGGCUAGAGUGCGUUCGGGGCAGAGGGAAUUCCUGGUGUAGCGGUGAAAUGCGUAGAGAUCGGGAAGAACAUCGGUGGCGAAAGCGCUCUACUGGGCCGCAACUGACACUCAGGGACGAAAGCUAGGGGAGCGAAUGGG